rnacentral:rRNA from 1 species
UACGUAGGGGGCAAGCGUUGUCCGGAAUCAUUGGGCGUAAAGAGCGCGUAGGCGGCCCUGUAAGUCCGCUGUGAAAGUCAAGGGCUCAACCCUUGGAUGCCGGUGGAUACUGCAGGGCUAGAGUCCGGAAGAGGCGAGUGGAAUUCCUGGUGUAGCCGGUGAAAUGCGCAGAUAUCAGGAGGAACACCGAUGGCGAAGGCAGCUCGCUGGGACGGUACUGACGCUGAGGCGCGAAAGCGUGGGGAGCAAACAGG